rnacentral:lncRNA from 1 species
GUUCUAAGGUACCUUGGUUAGCUGCCAGCAGGUCGGGUAGGGGGAGCCCUUCACUGUCUUCAGAAGACGGGGCACAGAUGGCGGCCACGUCCUCAGAGCGUUCGAAGUAUGGCUUCAACAUGUUCACAUGAAAGGCCCGUCUGACCCUUUCAUCGGAACAUUUAGCCACAAUAUAGGUGGUGUCGCUAAUCCGUUCCACCACCUUAAAUAGCCCC